rnacentral:lncRNA from 1 species
CUUUUUCUCCUCAAAAGUUUUGUUUACCAGAUCUUUUAGUCAAAGUGGUGGAAAAUCCAAUUAAAAUCGUGUCUGUCAUUACUUUUGGAAAAAUUCUUAUUGUUAGGUGUUAUUUAGUAAGGAACAGUGCAAUGCAAACCAGUAACAUAGGGGUUUCUUUAAAUGGCCUUUAAGGAAUAAUCAAGUAACUUGUAGGUGAAUUAAAAUCAUGAGAAUAAACAGGUAGAAACAAAGGGGUCCAAAUAAGAAAUACACCAAGAAGGAAAGAUUCAUAAGCUAACUCGUGACAGGGUCUACUGGGAUCAUUAUAAAGUUAGGAUUUAUGGCCGUAGGUUUCUAAAUGUAUUUCAGAAGGGAAAAUGUAUUAAUAGCACAAGUGCACGAAGAUAAAGUUUGCCCAGUCAUUGACUCCAGCACCUGCUUUAACAUAGAAUUGACUUGUACAUCAACUCACCCUCUGAAUGGGAUGCUUAUCAUGAUAGUUCUGGAAAGGAUCAACUAGGGUCAAAAACUCCCUGAGCCAAUGUGAAGGAAGAGUUAAACAUGGGAAAUUGGAUCCCAGUUUUAAUAGCAAACAUAAAAAAAAAACAGUAAUAAAUUUGGAAGUAGCAUUUAGUUUCCUUUGUUAUUUUCUGCUCAGAGACUACCCACUCCCUUUCUCUUUUGAGUGUUCUUUGUUUGAGGCUUACUUUCACUCAUAAUAAAAUUCUCUUGCUUAGCUUUUAUCAUCUGACUCUAAACUUUCCUUUGAUGGGACACAAGAACCCAGGCUUAUGGCUUCAACUCACCAUUUGCCUGUGACAAGGUAUUAUCACUUCAAAUAUUUCUUUUGCUUCCUUCUCUUUUCUCUUUCUGGCAUUCCAAUUACACUUCCAUUACCUUUUGAAAACAUACCAUAUUUCAAAGGUAUUAUGGGUUUUUUUUUUACCCAUUCCUUUUUUUUUCUUCACAUUUCAGUUUGAAAAAUCUCUGGUGACAUAUUUUCGAGGCCACUUAUUA